GACGAACGCUGGCGGCGGGCUUAACACAUGCAAGUCGAACGGAAAGGCCCUGCUUUGGUGGGGUGCUCGAGGGGCGAACGGGUGAGUAACACGUGAGUAACCUGCCCUUGACUUUGAGAUAACUUCAUGAAACUGGGGCUAAUACCGGGUAGGAGCUCCUGCUGCAUGGUGGGGGUUGGAAAGUUUCGGCGGUUGGGGAUGUACUCGCGGCUUAUCAGCUUGUUGGUGGGGUAGUGGCUUACCAAGGCUUUGACGGGUAGCCGGCCUGAGCGGGUGACCGGCCACAUUGGGACUGAGACACGGCCCCGACCCCUACGGGAGGCAGCAGUGGGGGAUAGUGCAAAAUGGGCGGAAGCCUGAUGCAGCAACGCCGCGUGCGGGAUAACGGCCUUCGGGUUGUAAACCGCUUUCGCCUGUGACGAAGAGUGAGUGACGGUAAUGGGUAAAGAAGCACCGGCUAAAUACGUG
rnacentral:rRNA from 1 species